rnacentral:rRNA from 1 species
AUUGAACGCUGGCGGCAGGCUUAACACAUGCAAGUCGAGCGGGGGAAGGUAGCUUGCUACCGGACCUAGCGGCGGACGGGUGAGUAAUGCUUAGGAAUCUGCCUAUUAGUGGGGGACAACAUCUCGAAAGGGAUGCUAAUACCGCAUACGUCCUACGGGAGAAAGCAGGGGAUCUUCGGACCUUGCGCUAAUAGAUGAGCCUAAGUCGGAUUAGCUAGUUGGUGGGGUAAAGGCCUACCAAGGCGACGAUCUGUAGCGGGUCUGAGAGGAUGAUCCGCCACACUGGGACUGAGACACGGCGCAGACUACUACGGGAGGCAGCAGUGGGGAAUAUUGGACAAUGGGGGGAACCCUGAUCCAGCCAUGCCGCGUGUGUGAAGAAGGCCUUACGGUUGUAAAGCACUUUAAGCGAGGAGGAGGCUACUUUAGUUAAUACCUAGAGAUAGUGGACGUUACUCGCAGAAUAAGCACCGGCUAACUCUGUGCCAGCCGCCGCGGUAA